UAGACUUAUGAAGGUACUUAUUUAUGUAUUAACAUACUUCUCAAAGUAAUAAAAAUAUAGUCAAUGCCAUUAUUCAUUAAUGUAGUAAGGUUCUUUAAAUGAUUGUCCUUAUUAAUAAAGUUGGAAUUACCGGCGGUUUUCACACCGCGAUAAAGUGGCGACAACUUUUUUAUGUCCCCCACUAUAGUAGUGGGGGACAUAUUGUUUUUGCCCUGUCUGUUGGUUGGUUGGUUGGUCUGUUGGUUGGUUUGCGCCAACUUUAACAUUUUGCAAUAACUUUUGCUAUAUUGAAGAUAGCAACUUCAUAUUUGGCAUGCAUGUGUAUCUCAUGAAGCUGCACAUUUUGAGUGGUGAAAGGUCAAGGUCAUCCUUCAAGGUCAGAGGUCAAAUAUAUGUGGCACAAAUCGCUUAUUUUAUGAAUACUUUUGCAAUAUUGAAGAUAGCAACUUGAUAUUUGGCAUGCAUGUGUAUCUCAUGGAGCUGCACAUUUUGAGUGGUGAAAGGUCAAGGUCAUCCUUCAAGGUCAGAGGUCAAAUAUAUGUGGCCCAAAUCGCUUAUUUUAUGAAUACUUUUGCAAUAUUGAAGAUAGCAACUUGAUAUUUGGCAUGCAUGUGUAUCUCAUGGAGCUGCACAUUUUGAGUGGUGAAAGGUCAAGGUCAAGGUCAUCCUUCACAAGGUCAAGGUCAUCCUACAAUGUCAAACAUCAUAUAGGGGGACAUUGUGUUUCACAAACACAUCU